rnacentral:rRNA from 1 species
AACUAACGCUGGCGGCGUGCCUAACACAUGCAAGUCGUACGAGAAAGCCGGCUUCGGCUGGUGAGUAAAGUGGCGCACGGGUGAGUAACGCGUGGAUAAUCUGCCCUUAAGUGUGGAAUAACGUACCGAAAGGUGCGCUAAUACCGCAUAAUGCCUGGCAACACAAGUUGUCCGGCCAAAGAAGGCCUCUGUUUACAAGCUUUCGCCGGAGGAUGAGCCCGCGUACCAUUAGCUAGUUGGCAGGGUAAUGGCCUACCAAGGCUACGAUGGUUAGCUGGUCUGAGAGGAUGGCCAGCCACACUGGAACUGAGACACGGUCCAGACUCCUACGGGAGGCAGCAGUGAGGAAUCUUGCGCAAUGGGGGAAACCCUGACGCAGCAACGCCGCGUGAGUGAGGAAGGCCUUCGGGUUGUAAACUGCUUUUGUACGGAACGAAAAGGUCUUUCUAAUAAAGAAGGCUGAUGACGGUACCGUAAGAAUAAGCACCGGCUAACUACGUGCCAGCACG